CCUACGGGGGGCAGCAGUGAGGAAUAUUGGUCAAUGGGCGGAAGCCUGAACCAGCCAAGUAGCGUGCGGGAUGAAGGCCCUACGGGUCGUAAACCGCUUUUGCACGGGGAUAACACCCUUCACUUGUGGCGGUCUGCAGGUACCGUGCGAAUAAGGGCCGGCUAAAUCCGUGCCAGCAGCCGCGGUAAUACGGAAGGGCCGAGCGUUAACCGGAUUCAUUGGGCUUAAAGGGAGCGUAGGGGGGGCGUCAAGUCAGCUGUUAAAUCCGCGGGCUCAACCCGCGCACGGAAGUUGAGACGGGACGCCUUGAGUUCACAACAGGCGGGCGGAAUGCGUGGUGUAGCGGUGAAAUGCGUAGAUAUCACGAGGAACCACGAUGGCGAAGGCAGCCUGCCGGAGUGCGACUGACGCUGAGGCUCGAAGGUGCGGGUAUCAAACAGGAUUAGAUACCCGUGUAGUC
rnacentral:rRNA from 1 species